GAGGAUAUAGCUCAGCGGUAGAGCACAUGCUUAGCAAGCAUGAGGUCCUGGAUUCAAUCCCCAGAAACUCU
rnacentral:tRNA from 1 species